ACGUAGGGUGCAAGCGUUAAUCGGAAUUACUGGGCGUAAAGCGAGCGCAGGCGGUUAUGUAAGACAGAUGUGAAAUCCCCGGGCUUAACCUGGGAACUGCAUUUGUGACUGCAUAGCUAGAGUGUGUCAGAGGGGGGUGGAAUUCCACGUGUAGCAGUGAAAUGCGUAGAGAUGUGGAGGAACACCGAUGGCGAAGGCAGCCCCCUGGGAUAACACUGACGCUCAUGCUCGAAAGCGUGGGGAGCAAACAGGAUUAGAUACCCUGGUAGUCCACGCCCUAAACGAUGUCAACUGGUUGUUGGGUCUUCACUGACUCAGUAACGAAGCUAACGCGUGAAGUUGACCGCCUGGGGAGUACGGCCGCAAGGUUG
rnacentral:rRNA from 1 species